UUGCCGUCCCCCUUCCUCCUCUUUUCCCCUCAGGAGAAGUCGGGAAGGUGGCGGUCGG
rnacentral:miRNA from 1 species